rnacentral:lncRNA from 1 species
GACCCAUUUAGCUGUACAACAAUGCCGGUCCGUUGCCUUUCUCUGUCGUUCCGGUAAGCUUCCGUAUAAUACAUAAUAAUAAUAAUACCAUCUCUGAUGGUGGUGAGAAUAGAUUUUAGAAUAACCCGUUAGUAAGUAGCUUGCUAGUUAGCCAGCUCCUAUAGGUUACCUAUGGCUUUCGCUAACCCGUUAGCAAGUAGGCUGCGCUAGCCAGCUGGCUACUAAAGACGUGAGUGCUACUUAUUUUAUUUUCUUAGGUAACGCUGCGAGUACAGCUCCGGGGGAAAAAAUUAAGAGACCGCUGAACCCUUGAUCUGUUCUUUCCCCGUGAGCAGAGUAGGGCCGAGCCAGGGAUGCCUGCCUGCCUGUCUGUAUAAAGAAACCAGAGCCGGGACUAACCCCAUUCUGUAAAUGUUUCUAUUUGUGUAGUACACAGUUAUUGUACAGUUUCUCUCCAUCUUUCUUUCUGCUAUGAUUAUAGUGUGUGUGUGUGUGUGUGUGUGUGUGGUUUCUCAACAGGUGUUUAAUGUACUGGUCCUGGAUGCAGCCACCUUAAUAGUGUGAUGUCCAUCUCUUCUGGCUCUAAUAGGACAAAUCUGCAGACUCCUGUGAGAUUGAACCCUGGCAGGUGUACAGAAAACCUUUGGUAAGAAAGUCAUUUUUGACCUUUAGUGUAGAGUUUAGGUGGCUAAACACUACACUAAACAGACCCCCUGAACCUAUGUGCUAAAUGUUUGUCCCAUGAGCAGAGAACAGCAUACAUAAAUAUACUGUGUAGCCUGUAAAGAGAACAAGGGCAUGAUCCUCCCUCCUGUUGUGUGUGUGUGUUUGUGUGUGUGUGUGGUUUCUCAACAGGUGUUUUAUGUACUGGUCCUGGAUGCAGCCACCUUGAUAGUGUGAUGUCCAUCUCUUCUGGCUCUAAUAGGACAAAUCUGCAGACUCCUGUGAGAUUGAACCCUGGCAGGUGUACAGAAAACCUUUGGAUGCUACAGAAUGCCCUGGGCCCAGGCAGGGGAAUCAGCCUUCAAGCUGGCCCCACAACACCUUCCCUGGAAGGAACUGAGCCUGAAACUGCACCCCCUCUUCACCCUGCUCUAUGCACCUAUUAUGAUUAUUGAAAUAAAUGUCAUGAAAAU